AUGAUUCUGGGCUAUUCGCCCGAUGAGAGCCAGAGCAUCGCUAACCGGCUUAACUGUCGGUUGGGGACAUUCCCCACUACCUACCUGGGGGUCCCCAUUAGUGACUCCCGCCUGACCGUGGCCGACCUACGGCCCUCGGUGCUCAAGCUCCAACACCGCAUCGAGCCGUGGCAGGGUCGUUGGCUCUCUAAGGCGGCUCGUACGAUCCUCAUCAACUUGUCCCUUUCCAGACUCCUCCUAUUCAUCAUGAGCUUCUACAGCUUCCCCGAGACUCUCCACCAUGAGAUUGGUUCGGUCCAGGCCCGGUUCUAUUGGGUGGGCGAGGGCGACAAGCAAAAGUACCAUAUGGUGCGCUGGUCUGAAAUCUGCAAGCCCCGGGAUCAAGGUGGUCUUGGUAUCAUGUCCUCCAAGCGCAUGAACCUGGCACUCCUCACUCAUCGGCUCUGGCGCAUUGCGAAUGGCGAUGGCGGCCUGUGGUUGCAGAUCGUGCGCCAGAAAUACCUGCGUGGUCAAGCCCUCGCCUUCUGCGCCCGGACCGGAGGGUCCCAGUUCUGGCAAUCUGUCAUUCAGCUCCUACCGGUCCUCCGUCGGAACUGGGUCAUCCACGCUGUUUUGGCUAGACCGCUGGGCUGGGGACCUCCCCUUCGUUGCGAGAUUCCCUGA
rnacentral:rRNA from 1 species